AUUGAACGCUGGCGGCAUGCCUUACACAUGCAAGUCGAACGGCAGCGGGGGAGAAGCUUGCUUUUCCUGCCGGCGAGUGGCGAACGGGUGAGUAAUACAUCGGAACGUGCCCUGUAGUGGGGGAUAACUAGUCGAAAGAUUAGCUAAUACCGCAUACGACCUGAGGGUGAAAGUGGGGGACCUUCGGGCCUCACACCAGAGGAUGUGCCCAGAUGGGAUUAGCUAGUAGGUGGGGUAAUGGCUCACCUAGGCGACGAUCCCUAGCUGGUCUGAGAGGAUGACCAGCCACACUGGAACUGAGACACGGUCCCGACUCCUACGGGAGGCAGCAGUGGGGAAUAUUGCACAAUGGGCGCAAGCCUGAUGCAGCCAUGCCGCGUGUAUGAAGAAGGCCUUCGGGUUGUAAAGUACUUUCAGCGGGGAGGAAGGCGGUGAAGUUAAUAGCUUCACCGAUUGACGUUACCCGCAGAAGAAGCACCGGCUAACUCCGUGCCAGCCGCCGCAGUAA
rnacentral:rRNA from 1 species